rnacentral:rRNA from 1 species
AACGAUGGCUAAUACCGCAUGAUGCCUACGGGCCAAAGAGGGGGACCUUCGGGCCUCUCGCGUCAGGAUAUGCCUAGGUGGGAUUAGCUAGUUGGUGAGGUAAGGGCUCACCAAGGCGACGAUCCCUAGCUGGUCUGAGAGGAUGAUCAGCCACACUGGAACUGAGACACGGUCCAGACUCCUACGGGAGGCAGCAGUGGGGAAUAUUGCACAAUGGGCGCAAGCCUGAUGCAGCCAUGCCGCGUGUGUGAAGAAGGCCUUCGGGUUGUAAAGCACUUUCAGUCGUGAGGAAGGUAGUGUAGUUAAUAGCUGCAUUAUUUGACGUUAGCGACAGAAGAAGCACCGGCUAACUCCGUGCCAGCAGCCGCGGUAAUACGGAGGGUGCGAGCGUUAAUCGGAAUUACUGGGCGUAAAGCGCAUGCAGGUGGUUUGUUAAGUCAGAUGUGAAAGCCCGGGGCUCAACCUCGGAAUUGCAUUUGAAACUGGCAGACUAGAGUACUGUAGAGGGGGGUAGAAUUUCAGGUGUAGCGGUGAAAUGCGUAGAGAUCUGAAGGAAUACCGGUGGCGAAGGCGGCCCCCUGGACAGAUACUGACACUCAGAUGCGAAAGCGUGGGGAGCAAACAGGAUUAGAUACCCUGGUAGUCCACGCCGUAAACGAUGUCUACUUGGAGGUUGUGGCCUUGAGCCGUGGCUUUCGGAGCUAACGCGUUAAGUAGACCGCCUGGGGAGUACGGUCGCAAGAUUAAAACUCAAAUGAAUUGACGGGGGCCCGCACAAGCGGUGGAGCAUGUGGUUUAAUUCGAUGCAACGCGAAGAACCUUACCUACUCUUGACAUCCAGAGAACUUUCCAGAGAUGGAUUGGUGCCUUCGGGAACUCUGAGACAGGUGCUGCAUGGCUGUCGUCAGCUCGUGUUGUGAAAUGUUGGGUUAAGUCCCGCAACGAGCGCAACCCUUAUCCUUGUUUGCCAGCGAGUAAUGUCGGGAACUCCAGGGAGACUGCCGGUGAUAAACCGGAGGAAGGUGGGGACGACGUCAAGUCAUCAUGGCCCUUACGAGUAGGGCUACACACGUGCUACAAUGGCGCAUACAGAGGGCAGCCAACUUGCGAAAGUGAGCGAAUCCCAAAAAGUGCGUCGUAGUCCGGAUUGGAGUCUGCAACUCGACUCCAUGAAGUCGGAAUCGCUAGUAAUCGUGGAUCAGAAUGCCACGGUGAAUACGUUCCCGGGCCUUGUACACACCGCCCGUCACACCAUGGGAGUGGGCUGCAAAAGAAGUAGGUAGUUUAACCUUCGGGGG